GAUGAACGCUGGCGGCGUGCCUAAUACAUGCAAGUCGAGCGAAGCGGGGACGGGUGAGUAACACGUCGAUAACCUCCUAUACGACUGGGAUAACUUCGGGAAACCCGAGCUACACCCGAUGCUUAUACAUGGAUCCUCGCUGCAUUAGCUAGUUGGUAAGGUAACGGCUUACCAAGGCAACUAUGCAUAGCCGACCUGAGAGGGGUAUCGGCCACACUGGAACUGAGACACGGUCCAGACUCCUACGGGAGGCAGCAGUAAGGAAUCUUCCGCAAUGGGCGAAAGCCUGACGGAGCAACGCCGCGGGAGUGAUGAAGGUCUUCGGAUCGUAAAACUCUGUUAUUAGGGAAGCGGUACCUAAAGAGAAAGCCACGGCUAACUACGUGCCAGCAGCCGCGGUAAUUG
rnacentral:rRNA from 1 species